rnacentral:rRNA from 1 species
GAUGAACGCUGGCGGCGUGCUUAACACAUGCAAGUCGAACGGGAAACCUUUUAUUGAAGCUUCGGCAGAUUUAGCUGGUUUCUAGUGGCGGACGGGUGAGUAACGCGUGGGUAACCUGCCUUAUACAGGGGGAUAACAGUCAGAAAUGGCUGCUAAUACCGCAUAAGCGCACAGAGCUGCAUGGCUCAGUGUGAAAAACUCCGGUGGUAUAAGAUGGACCCGCGUUGGAUUAGCUGGUUGGUGGGGUAACGGCCCACCAAGGCGACGAUCCAUAGCCGGCCUGAGAGGGUGAACGGCCACAUUGGGACUGAGACACGGCCCAGACUCCUACGGGAGGCAGCAGUGGGGAAUAUUGCACAAUGGGGGAAACCCUGAUGCAGCGACGCCGCGUGAAGGAAGAAGUAUCUCGGUAUGUAAACUUCUAUCAGCAGGGAAGAUAAUGACGGUACCUGACUAAGAAGCCCCGGCUAACUACGUG